AUGGCCUCAUGUGAGGUCCGGCCGCCAGCGGUGCGAUGUGAAAUGCGGGUGUUGGAGGUGCAGGUGGAGGGGUGGAGCGGCGACGACGACGGCCAGAGGAAGAGCCGGCCUCGUGGUCGUUCCUGCCCUUGCGGCCGGAGAUCCAGUGUGGCCGGCGGCGAGGUGGAGCUAGGGUUUGGAGAAACCGAGCGUGUCGGGCUUCAAGGAGGCAUGUGUCGCCGGGAGUGGGGAAAUGGAAGUGUGUACCCCCACCGGUCCAUGGCUUCCGCAUUAAAAAGGACGACGACCACUCGGCCGGGGUGGCUGACAACCGGGGCCACCCGCGCGUGCAUCGUAAAAGUGGACGGUGGGUGGUAG
rnacentral:rRNA from 1 species